CAGUCGCCGCGGGAACACAGAGGGUGCGAGCGUUAAUCGGAAUUACUGGGCGUAAAGCGUGCGUAGGCGGUUUGUUAAGUCUGCUGUGAAAUCCCCGGGCUCAACCUGGGAAUGGCAGUGGAUACUGGCAAGCUAGAGUGUGUCAGAGGAUGGUGGAAUUCCCGGUGUAGCGGUGAAAUGCGUAGAGAUCGGGAGGAACAUCAGUGGCGAAGGCGGCCAUCUGGGACAACACUGACGCUGAGGCACGAAAGCGUGGGGAGCAAACAGGAUUAGAUACCCCUGUAGUCCCUGUCUCUUAUAC
rnacentral:rRNA from 1 species